GGCGGGUUCAAACCCAGCCCGGCCAAAAAUAAAAUAAAAUAAAAUUAAAACAUGGUGUACAGCUAGCUGAUCACAACUUGUUAACAGAUUUGUUUGUUCUUUCUCUGCUCCUGCUGUUUCACUUGACUAGCCUAAA
rnacentral:sRNA from 1 species